rnacentral:lncRNA from 10 species
UUUCAGUCCAUGGAAAAGCCACUGUCCUUACAAGAGCUUACAAGGCCCUACCCCUGCACCCCAUCCACCUAUUUCUGCGACUUCAACACCUACAACUGUGUACGCCUUCCUCUGUCACUGUUCAGACCACACUGGCCUUCUUACAGGUCCGAAGAGAAAAGGGGAGAGCAUCAUUUCUAGAGCUUGGAAGACAAGGCAACUUGACAAGAGCAGUGGCGUUCAGUAGAGGUUUAACGCCCACCUGACCUUUCCCGCCCUUCUCCCUCUGGUCUCCUGCUGGGGCUCUCCAUUGUCUUAACCCACAUUGAAGCCACAAGACAAAGGAGCUCGUUGGUGAUGCCCAUACAGGUCAGCUGCCUGGACAGCGAACAAACUGUAAAGGGACAGAGAGUGGGCCUGGAGGGAACAAACAAAGGUGUGUUAGGGAUAGUCCAAUUAUUACAAUUUACUAAAAGAAAAUGCAGAGACUUGAAUUUUCUACAUGAUUUCCUUAAUACUCAGUUUCAGCUAGCCUAUGCCUAUAGGCACAAAAAUAAUGAACUCUCACCUUCCUGACUUCUUUUUCUUUUUUUUGAACAUUUACAACUGCUUUUUUGUCCUAAAGGCAAUCAGGAAAGAAAGUGAUUAAAACACUUAUGAAGAUUAAUAAUGCUGUCUUCAAAGUUCAGUGGAAAAAUUAUUUUGGUAAAAUUCUAAAAUUUGAGAAAACGUUUCUAUAGGAGAACUGGAUAAUACCCACUUUGGACUAAAGAGAAUUGAGUUUGUGCAGUCUAGUAAGUAAAGGUUGUUUCACCAGGGCAGAAUGCGGAAUCACAAUCACCCGAAACCACAAGCGGAAUUCAUACGUCUCCCUGCACAGAUACCCAUAUUUUGCCAUUGCUUAAGUUUCCUUUUUGUUGUUGUUGUUAUUACUCUGGAAGAUAAUUCAAUUCAUAUUGCACAUUUCCUCACAGAAAAUUUGAAUCUUAUGAAUAUAAAAAUCAUGGACUUGGCCCAAUUUUAUUUUAAUCAGUUUUUCAGUUUCCUAAUUCAGGAUUAGCUUCCCAGUAUAUAUGCAGACAUUUAGUAACAAGUGCAACAGUGUGCACAUUAAAAUAUGGAGAGUUUCAGCAGCAAUUUGAGUUAUAGUAA